rnacentral:rRNA from 1 species
UUCAGGGGUAAACCUGAGAAGCCCGAAAGGUCGAAUGGGGAAAUUCAUUCGCGUUUCGGCCGUCGGCGUUGGAUGGUCGCGUGACGGAUGGCGUACGCGUCGUCCGCGCCUUCCGUUCAUCGAACCGGCGUCGAACGCGUGCACUUUUCCCCUAGUAGGACGUCGCGAUCCGUUGGGUGUCGGUCUACGGCUCGCGGUGGAGCCCGUGCGGUCGUUUCGGCGUAUCGCACGGACCCGUGGUGUCCCGGCCGACCCGCUCGACGGUAUACAGAUGGCGCGGGGCCGCUACACAGUUAGCGUUCGGCCUGCGGCAAGCGCGUUCGUUGUUUGACGGCGAUCGGACCUGGUGCCGGUCCUGUCCGCGAGCGACUGUUGGCCGUAGUGUUCUCGAACAGACCUCGUUUUGAAACGCCGAUCUGCGACGCUAUAGCUUUGGGUACUUUCAGGACCCACGGACCAAGGAGUCUAGCAUGUGCGCGAGUCAUUGGGACAUAACUAAACCUAAAGGCGUAAUGAAAGUGAAGGUCCGCCUUGCGCGGAUCGAGGGAGGAUGGGUGGUUCGCCCUUAAAAGUGGCCACUCCGCACUCCCGGGGCGUCUCGUUCUCAUCGCGAGAAGAGGCGCACCAAGAGC